rnacentral:rRNA from 1 species
AACGUAGGGUCCAAGCGUUGUCCGGAUUUAUUGGGCGUAAAGAGCUCGUAGGCGGCUCAGUAAGUCGGAUGUGAAAACUCGGGGCUCAACCCCGAGACGCCAUCCGAUACUGCUGUGGCUUGAGUCUGGUAGGGGAACACGGAAUUCCUGGUGUAGCGGUGAAAUGCGUAGAUAUCGGGAGGAACACCAGUGGCGAAGGCGGGCAUCUGGGCCAACACUGACGCUGAGGCGCGAAAGCUAGGGGAGCAAACAGG